rnacentral:rRNA from 1 species
UACGAAGGGGGCUAGCGUUGUUCGGAAUUACUGGGCGUAAAGCGCGCGCAGGCGGUUUUUCAAGUCAGUGGUGAAAGCCCGGGGCUCAACCCCGGAACUGCCUUUAAAACUGCAUCGCUUGAAUCCGGGAGAGGUGAGUGGAAUUCCGAGUGUAGAGGUGAAAUUCGUAGAUAUUCGGAAGAACACCAGUGGCGAAGGCGGCUCACUGGACCGGCAUUGACGCUGAGGUGCGAAAGCGUGGGGAGCAAACAGG